GCCUCCUUAGCUCAGCGGAAGAGCGACGGCCUUCUAAGCCGUUGGUCGCAGGUUCGAUCCCUGCAGGGGCA
rnacentral:tRNA from 1 species